UGAACGCUAGCUACAGGCUUAACACAUGCAAGUCGAGGGGCAGCAUAUUGAUAGCUUGCUAUGUCUGAUGGCGACCGGCGCACGGGUGCGUAACACGUAUCCAAUCUGCCCGUUACUCGGGGAUAGCCUUCUGAAAGGAAGAUUAAUACCCGAUGGCAUGUAUUUCCGGCAUCGGAGAUACAUUAAAGAUUUAUCGGUAACGGAUGAGGAUGCGUACGAUUAGCUUGUUGGCGGGGUAACGGCCCACCAAGGCGACGAUCGUUAGGGGUUCUGAGAGGAAGGUCCCCCACACUGGAACUGAGACACGGUCCAGACUCCUACGGGAGGCAGCAGUGAGGAAUAUUGGUCAAUGGUCGGAAGACUGAACCAGCCAAGUAGCGUGAAGGAUGACUGCCCUACGGGUUGUAAACUUCUUUUGUUUGGGAAUAAAAGACGCUACGUGUAGCGUUCUGCAUGUACCUUACGAAUAAGCAUCGGCUAAUUCCGUG
rnacentral:rRNA from 1 species